CACUUUUUUUGGUUCUGGUGUCUUCUGUAUAAAAGCACAAUCAACACGAGCAACAGCAACACGAUUGGGACAGCGAUGUAUGCUGAGCUUUUUGAGGCUGAAAGAAAAACAAGAGAUAUACAUGGAAAAGUGAACCAAUAAUAUAAGGUCUGGUUUUAUAAUCAGCUCAGAUCUUGGCCCAAACUCAUAUCCUGUUUAUACUGUCAUGUGUAUGUCUGUUUCAGAAUAAAACACUGAUAUCAAUCAUAGAUCACACACUUAAAAUCAAACCAUGUGAUGUUACUUGAUGUGUCUGCAGGUAAGGCUCCCAAGCUACAGCUAAACAUGUCAGAUUAUUUAUUAAAUUUAUUUUUAAAUCAACAUAAAACAUAACCAAUUAUAAUUUCUUACUAUGAAAUGGAUUAAAACAAUAUUCAAAGGGAAUAUUCCAGUUACAGCUUUAUGUAAGACAGAUAAUUUGUUUUUAAUUGAAUUAAGGCUAUAUAAAACAUUAGUAGGCUAUGUGACGCACUCACUGCACUUUAUUUCUGAGUAAAAAAAAUAAAUAAAGAAAAAAAAUUAUAUACAUUUUUGAAUUUGAGUUGAUUUGACUUGAUUUAAAGGGAUAGUUGAAAACUAUGUCAUUAAUUACAUUAAUUAAUUACCUUUUUUCAUCUUCAGAACACAAAUUAAGAUAUUUCUGAUGAAAUCUGUGAGCUUUCUGUCCCUAGACAGUAAGGGUCCUACCAUUUUCAAGGCACAGAAAUGCAGUCAUUUCAUCGUUUUCAUAGUCCAUGUGACAUCUUUGUGCGAAAAUAGAACAAAAAUUUAAAUGUAAAUGUUGGAUUAUCACAAUGCAUGCACUCUCCUUUAAAUGUAAACAAGGUGUGUUCAACAUCAGCUACACCACACACAUUUGUUGUUUACGUGCAGGAAAAUCACAUGCAUGCAUCGUGAUACUCUCCAAAAUGGUGCUCUAGGGUGACGCAGAGGAGAAGAAUUGUUGAUUAAAGUUGUUAUUUUAGUUUUCUUUUUGCACAAAUAGUAUUCUCGAAGCUUUAUAAAAUUUUGGUUGAACUACUGAUGUCACGUGGACCAUUUUAACAAUGUCCUUACUAUACCUUCUGUGCCUUGAUCAUGGUAGUACCCUUGCUGUCUAUGGAGGGACAGGAAGCUCUCGGUUUUCAUCAAAAAUAUCUUAAUUUGAGUUCCGAAGAUGAACGAAGGUCUUACAGGUUUGGAACGACAUAAGGGUGAGUAACUAAUGACAGAAUUAAAAUUUUUGGGUGAACUAUCCCUUUAAUAAUGAUUGUCCUAUGAUGCAUUGCUGGAUCAUGAAAAGUGGGCAUUUCUUAUCAGAUUAUACUCAAGCUGAGUUGAUGCAGUCGAUAGCGGAGUCCAGUUUGAAUACAGGUUCACCCUGCACCUCGAAGUAUUCCAAAGAUUGAAUCACUUCAUAAAGAAGUCAUGGAUUUAAAAGAGUUGGUGGAAAAGUUUGUGGAAACAGUGGAGAGACUUGAACAGGAAAAUGCCGAACUUCAGGAGAGGUAUGAUCGCAUGGAAAACCAAAGCAGGCGGGAUAACCUUGUCUUUUAUGGUAUCCCAGAAUCGGAUCGGGAAACAUGGGAAGAGAGUGAGAAAAAGAUACGGGAACACGCGGCUGAAUACUUUGGUGUGGAAAGAGCCAAAAGCGACGAGGAACUACCGAUUGAACGCGCUCACCGGGUUGGGAAAAGAUCGCAUGGGAGAGCAAGGCCGGUGGUGGUUCGUUUCACAAGGUGGAAAGACAAGGAAGAGAUUCUACACAAGGCAAGACAAAAAACUCGGGAAUGGCGUGAACGAAGUAGUGAAGAUGAAGUAAACAAUCGAAUUAGGGUGUCAGAGGACUUCAGUGCUCGUGUGCGUGAGAUACGGAGAAAGUUGGUUAACUACAUGCAAACUCUACGACAAACUCAACCAAAUACACGGAUGUCACUUCGUUUCGACAAAUUAUUUGUGGACGGUAAAAUGUUAACUUAUGACACAGAGUCGGAGUCCGUGAUUGAAAUUGAAACGAAUAAAGAAAGACCAUCUGAAACUUUCGUAAGGUAGGAUGACGGCCUCGGCCCAAAUGAACUCACUGUAUUGGCAUGGAAUGUUCACGGGUUAAAGACAAAGGUUAAUAACAGUGAGUUAUUGGACACUCUGAAUGGAAACUCUGUCAUAUGUUUGAGUGAAGUCUGGUCACAAGAUGAGACUGAGUUUUGCAAC
ensembl:lncRNA